GCGCAAUGGGCGGAAGCCUGACGCAGCGACGCCGCGUGGGGGAUGACGGCCUUCGGGUUGUAAACCUCUUUCGCCAGGGACGAAGCUUUAUUGUGACGGUACCUGGAUAAGAAGCACCGGCCAACUACGUGCCAGCAGCCGCGGUAACACGUAGGGUGCGAGCGUUGUCCGGAAUUAUUGGGCGUAAAGAGCUCGUAGGCGGUGUGUCACGUCGGCCGUGAAAACUUGGGGCUUAACUCUGAGCGUGCGGUCGAUACGGGCAUCACUUGAGUUCGGCAGGGGAGACUGGAAUUCCUGGUGUAGCGGUGAAAUGCGCAGAUAUCAGGAGGAACACCGGUGGCGAAGGCGGGUCUCUGGGCCGAUACUGACGCUGAGGAGCGAAAGCGUGGGGAGCGAACAGGAUUAGAUACCCUGGUAGUCCACGCCGUAAGCGUUGGGCGCUAGGUGUGGGGGAUGGGUUCCACCGUUUCCGUGCCGUAGCUAACGCAUUAAGCGCCCCGCCUGGGGAGUACGGCCGCAAGACU
rnacentral:rRNA from 1 species